rnacentral:rRNA from 1 species
ACAGCAGCAGCCGCGGUAAUACAGAGGGUGCGAGCGUUAAUCGGAUUUACUGGGCGUAAAGCGUGCGUAGGCGGCUUCUUAAGUCGGAUGCGAAAUCCCUGAGCUUAACUUAGGAAUUGCAUUCGAUACUGGGAAGCUAGAGUAUGGGAGAGGAUGGUAGAAUUCCAGGUGUAGCGGUGAAAUGCGUAGAGAUCUGGAGGAAUACCGAUGGCGAAGGCAGCCAUCUGGCCUAAUACUGACGCUGAGGUACGAAAGCAUGGGGAGCAAACAGGAUUAGAUACCCCGGUAGUCCCUGUCUCUUAUAC